AGAUUUGAUCCUGGCUCAGAUUGAACGCUGGCGGCAUGCCUUACACAUGCAAGUCGAACGGCAGCACGGGUGCUUGCACCUGGUGGCGAGUGGCGAACGGGUGAGUAAUACAUCGGAACAUGUCCUGUAGUGGGGGAUAGCCCGGCGAAAGCCGGAUUAAUACCGCAUACGAUCUACGGAUGAAAGCGGGGGACCUUCGGGCCUCGCGCUAUAGGGUUGGCCGAUGGCUGAUUAGCUAGUUGGUGGGGUAAAGGCCUACCAAGGCGACGAUCAGUAGCUGGUCUGAGAGGACGACCAGCCACACUGGGACUGAGACACGGCCCAGACUCCUNACGGGAGGCAGCAGUGGGGAAUUUUGGACAAUGGGCGAAAGCCUGAUCCAGCAAUGCCGCGUGUGUGAAGAAGGCCUUCGGGUUGUAAAGCACUUUUGUCCGGAAAGAAAUCCUUGCUCUAAUACAGUCGGGGAUGACGUACCGGAAGAAUAAGCACCGCUAACUA
rnacentral:rRNA from 1 species